rnacentral:rRNA from 1 species
GUGGGGAAUCUUAGACAAUGGGGGAAACCCUGAUCUAGCCAUGCCGCGUGAGCGAUGAAGGCCUUAGGGUUGUAAAGCUCUUUCAGCUGGGAAGAUAAUGACGGUACCAGCAGAAGAAGCCCCGGCUAACUCCGUGCCAGCAGCCGCGGUAAUACGGAGGGGGCUAGCGUUGGUCGGAAUUACUGGGCGUAAAGCGCGCGUAGGCGGACCAGAAAGUUGGAGGUGAAAUCCCAGGGCUCAACCUUGGAACUGCCUUCAAAACUCCUGGUCUGGAGUUCGAGAGAGGUGAGUGGAAUUCCGAGUGUAGAGGUGAAAUUCGUAGAUAUUCGGAGGAACACCAGUGGCGAAGGCGGCUCACUGGCUCGAUACUGACGCUGAGGUGCGAAAGCGUGGGGAGCAAACAGGAUUAGAUACCCGAGUAGUCC